rnacentral:rRNA from 1 species
CUGUUGUAAGGGAAGAAUAACUGAAUUCAGAGAAAGUUUUCAGCUUGACGGUACCUUACCAGAAAGGGAUGGCUAAAUACGUGCCAGCAGCCGCGGUAAUACGUAUGUCCCGAGCGUUAUCCGGAUUUAUUGGGCGUAAAGCGAGCGCAGACGGUUUAUUAAGUCUGAUGUGAAAUCCCGAGGCCCAACCUCGGAACUGCAUUGGAAACUGAUUUACUUGAGUGCGAUAGAGGCAAGUGGAACUCCAUGUGUAGCGGUGAAAUGCGUAGAUAUGUGGAAGAACACCAGUGGCGAAAGCGGCUUGCUAGAUCGUAACUGACGUUGAGGCUCGAAAGUAUGGGUAGCAAACGGGAUUAGAUACCCCGGUAGUCCAUACCGUAAACGAUGGGUGCUAGUUGAGAGGUUUCCGCCUCCUAGUGACGUAGCAAACGCAUUAAGCACCCCGCCUGAGGAGUACGGCCGCAAGGCUAAAACUUAAAGGAAUUGACGGGGACCCGCACAAGCGGUGGAGCAUGUGGUUUAAUUCGAAGAUACGCGAAAAACCUUACCAGGUCUUGACAUACCAAUGAUCGCUUUUGUAAUGAAAGCUUUUCUUCGGAACAUUGGAUACAGGUGGUGCAUGGUCGUCGUCAGCUCGUGUCGUGAGAUGUUGGGUUAAGU